GGCUGAACUACAAUUGAUUAAAAUAGAAAAGUUCAAAACUUAUGCGGGUUUUUGAAAUGUCUCUUCUUCUUCCUUCUCUUUUCCGCGUGAAAAUGGCUGAGAAGAAGAUGGGUUCUCUUCAUCAUCCCUCAAGCUGGAGGAUAGAGACAAAAACCCUAGCCUGCUCACGAUGUUGGUGUGAGAAACCCCAGAUAAGGGUUUGGCAAAGAGAUAUGCAAUGUGGGACUUCGAAGGAACAAAUGAAAGAGAUAUCACAAUCGAUAUGAAUCGCCGCCUGACUAUCACAAAUGUAACGGAACCGUCAAAGUUGGAGGAGCAGAUAAAUUAGGAAGAAGUUGGACACGCUAAGUGAUUUCAGCAGUUACCCGUUCAUGGAUCUACACCCAGAUUCAGCGGAUGACAAAGAGAUAGAGAUCUGCUUCUUCGAUUUCCAAGAAAUGGGGGCACCUUGAAGAGUAUAUGCGGUCAAAAUCAGGGAAGAUCGAUUUUAAGGUUUCUAUGGCAUUUUGAACCGGGCCUCGAUGGGUUCGGAGCACGGACCAAGGCUCGUCCCUGAAGCAUUUACCUCGAGAGGGUAUACCGAAGACUCGUCAUAGUAUACCACGAGCCAGCAUGAAAAUCGACGAUAUCAUGAAAAGGCAGAAAAUUUCUAAGGGAACGUGAUUAGAACUCACAGAAUUUGUAAAAAUGGGAUAAAUCAGCGCGAGCCAUUAUAUUGUAACCUUGUCAAGAAUAGGACAUAUCUUGUUUUCU
rnacentral:lncRNA from 1 species